UCCUCCUUCCCGCCGCUCAUUGGCCUACAGCCGAGUGGGCUUUUUCCUUUAGGAUUUUUGCAACCUCUCCAUCCUUCCUUGGGGUGCGUGGAGGUCCCUGGCCUCGGUACCCACCCCGCCAGCCAGGUCCAGCUCAUCUCUGGCCACCAGAGCUUCCCAAGAGGUCUUCCUCCUCCGCACAAAAUCCACCUCUUCUUCCUGCUUUCUGAGGGGCUUCCCUCGAUUCUUUUUCCCAACGCAGCUCACAAACCUACCCCACAAAGAGUCACAUUCAGGGCAGCUGGGGACCGCUGGCGAAGCGGGGGAGAAGCAGGUUCAGAUAAAGAAAGGAAAAGGAGAGCCUCCACCCCAGGAAUUCUGCAGUGAGUGCCAGGCCAUGGAGGAAGAGGUUGUGUGCCAGAACUUGUGGGCUUAGAAGAGAGACAAAGGAAAGGUAGGUGACUGAGGGGCUCAUUCAUUCAUUCAAUGACAAAUAUUUGAAUUGCUGCUACAUGCCAGACACUGUGAGGUACAAACAAUGAGAUACAAAGAUUAACCAUUGGUACCUGACCUCAAAGAUCUACGGGUCUUGUGGGAAAGACAACCAAACAGAAAAAUGUCAACCCAGCAUGUGGUAAGUGCUAACAUGGGGGCAAAUGCAAAGUUCUAAGGGGUGAGAAGGCAAGUCACAGAAAGCUUCCCAGAAGAGGUGAUAUCCUAAACUCAGGCUUGAAAGACCAGUAGAAUUGAGGUGAGAAAAGAAAAUGGGGGGAGGGUGUCAGGGGAAAACAAGCAACAUGAACAAAGAUUCUGACAGGAGAGAGCAUGACCCAGUUGGAUGAUGGGAGGUGCAAGUAAGGGUCUCAGGCUGGGGAGUUAGGGAAGCUAAAGCAGCAGAGGUAAGCAAGGGUCAGAUUAUGAGUCCCCAAACCAUGCAAAGGAGCCUGGGGAAGCACUGAAGGAACUUCUAAGCAGAGGGGUGAUAUGAUCUUGUUUGCCCUAUGAAAAUAUCUCUACAGCAACAUUGUGGGGAUUGGCUUGGAGAAGGAAGC
rnacentral:lncRNA from 1 species